CAAAAGGCUCUUCUAAGAGCCACCACCUUGUCCUUUCAGAGCUAUAU
rnacentral:ncRNA from 1 species